rnacentral:rRNA from 1 species
UGGGGAAUAUUGCACAAUGGGCGAAAGCCUGAUGCAGCGACGCCGCGUGAGGGAUGACGGCCUUCGGGUUGUAAACCUCUUUCAGCAGGGACGAAGCGCAAGUGACGGUACCUGCAGAAGAAGCACCGGCUAACUACGUGCCAGCAGCCGCGGUAAUACGUAGGGUGCAAGCGUUGUCCGGAAUUACUGGGCGUAAAGAGUUCGUAGGCGGUUUGUCGCGUCGUUUGUGAAAAACAGCAGCUCAACUGCUGGCUUGCAGGCGAUACGGGCAGACUUGAGUACUGCAGGGGAGACUGGAAUUCCUGGUGUAGCGGUGAAAUGCGCAGAUAUCAGGAGGAACACCGGGGGCGAAGGCGGGUCUCUGGGCAGUAACUGACGCUGAGGAACGAAAGCGUGGGUAGCGAACAGG